rnacentral:rRNA from 1 species
ACGGAGGGUGCAAGCGUUAUUCGGAAUUACUGGGCGUAAAGCGCGUGUAGGCGGUCCUGCAAGUCUGAUGUGAAAGCCCCGGGCUUAACCCGGGAAGUGCAUUUGAAACUGCAGGACUUGAGUACGGGAGAGGAUGGUGGAAUUCCCGGUGUAGAGGUGAAAUGCGUAGAGAUCAGGAGGAACAUCGGUGGCGAAGGCAGCAAUCAGGGCUAUAACUGACGCUGAGGCACGAAAUUGUUGGGUGCUUACUG